rnacentral:rRNA from 1 species
AGUGAACGCUGGCGGUAGGCCUAACACAUGCAAGUCGAACGGCAGCACAGUAAGAGCUUGCUCUUACGGGUGGCGAGUGGCGGACGGGUGAGGAAUACAUCGGAAUCUACUUUUUCGUGGGGGAUAACGUAGGGAAACUUACGCUAAUACCGCAUACGACCUACGGGUGAAAGCAGGGGAUCUUCGGACCUUGCGCGAUUGAAUGAGCCGAUGUCGGAUUAGCUAGUUGGCGGGGUAAAGGCCCACCAAGGCGACGAUCCGUAGCUGGUCUGAGAGGAUGAUCAGCGACACUGGAACUGAGACACGGUCCAGACUACUACGGGAGGCAGCAGUGGGGAAUAUUGGACAAUGGGCGCAAGCCUGAUCCAGCCAUACCGCGUGGGUGAAGAAGGCCUUCGGGUUGUAAAGCCCUUUUGUUGGGAAAGAAAAGCAGCAGGUUAAUACCCCGCUGUUCUGACGGUACCUAAAGAAUAAGCACCGGCUAACUUCGUG